rnacentral:rRNA from 1 species
UCCCAAGGCUAAAUACUCCCUAGUGACCGAUAGUGAACCAGUACCGUGAGGGAAAGGUGAAAAGCACCCCGGGAGGGGAGUGAAAGAGAACCUGAAACCGUGUGCCUACAAGUAGUCAGAGCCCGUUGAUGGGUGAUGGCGUGCCUUUUGUAGAAUGAACCGGCGAGUGACGAUGGCGUGCGAGGUUAAGCCGGAGAGGCGGAGCCGCAGCGAAAGCGAGUCUGAACAGGGCGUGUGAGUACGUCGUCGUCGACCCGAAACCAGGUGAUCUACCCAUGUCCAGGGUGAAGGCCGGGUAACACCGGCUGGAGGCCCGAACCCACGCACGUUGAAAAGUGCGGGGAUGAGGUGUGGGUAGGGGUGAAAUGCCAAUCGAACUUGGAGAUAGCUGGUUCUCCCCGAAAUAGCUUUAGGGCUAGCCUCGGGUUUAGGAGUCUUGGAGGUAGAGCACUGAUUGGGCUAGGGGCCCAAACCGGGUUACCGAACCCAGUCAAACUCCGAAUGCCAAUGACUUAUGCCCGGGAGUCAGACUGCGAGUGAUAAGAUCCGUGGUCGAGAGGGGAACAGCCCAGACCGCCAGCUAAGGCCCCGAAGUGCACGUUCAGUGGAAAAGGAUGUGGAGUUGCAAAGACAACCAGGAUGUUGGCUUAGAAGCAGCCACCAUUUAAAGAGUGCGUAAUAGCUCACUGGUCGAGUGACUCUGCGCCGAAAAUGUACCGGGGCUAAACGUGCCGCCGAAGCUGCGGGAUGACCGUUGGUCAUCGGUAGGGGAGCGUUCUAAGGGCAGAGAAGCCAGACCGGAAGGACUGGUGGAGCGCUUAGAAGUGAGAAUGCCGGUAUGAGUAGCGAAAACAGAGGUGAGAAUCCUCUGCACCGAAAGCCUAAGGGUUCCUGAGGAAGGUUCGUCCGCUCAGGGUUAGUCGGGACCUAAGCCGAGGCCGAAAGGCGUAGGUGAUGGACAACAGGUUGAGAUUCCUGUACCACCUUCUUCCCGUUUGAGCGAUGGGGGGACGCAGGAGGAUAGGGCGAGCAGGCGGCUGGAAGAGCCUGUCCAAGCCGUGAGGCUGAUCCGCAG